rfam:Schistosoma mansoni, Puerto Rico, WGS project CABG01000000 data, contig: 0442
AUCCAGCUGACGAAUUCCAAAUAGGACGAAACGCGCGAUCUGGAU